AUUGACGUAUUUUACAAAUGGAUAUUUCUUAUAUUCUUUUAGGUCGCCUUUGGCUUUAUGAGCAUGAUGUGCUUUAACCAUGGCAAGGACAAAACCUAUGUGUUCAAGUUUAAGGAGAAGAAAAUUAUUUUCACACUUGCCAAAUCUUCCCAAAUGAAAACAAAGCCUAAGUCUUCACCUAAGGCUCAAAAGAAAAUUACCAUCUUGAAUCACAUAGCUUGUGAAAGGGUAGGGAGGCAAAGUAGGUUUUGCUUAGCUGUGAU
rnacentral:misc_RNA from 1 species